rnacentral:rRNA from 1 species
AAACCUACGGGAGGCAGCAGUAGGGAAUCUUCCGCAAUGGACGAAAGUCUGACGGAGCAACGCCGCGUGAGUGAGGAAGGUCUUCGGAUCGUAAAACUCUGUUGUCAGGGAAGAACCGCCGGGAUGACCUCCCGGUCUGACGGUACCUGACGAGAAARCCCCGGCUAACUACGUGCCAGCAGCCGCGGUAAUACGUAGGGGGCAAGCGUUGUCCGGAAUUAUUGGGCGUAAAGCGCGCGCAGGCGGCUUCUUAAGUCAGGUGUGAAAGCCCACGGCUCAACCGUGGAGGGCCAUCUGAAACUGGGGAGCUUGAGUGCAGGAGAGGAGAGCGGAAUUCCACGUGUAGCGGUGAAAUGCGUAGAGAUGUGGAGGAACACCAGUGGCGAAGGCGGCUCUCUGGCCUGUAACUGACGCUGAGGCGCGAAAGCGUGGGGAGCAAACAGGAUUAGAUACCCUGGUAGUCCACGCCGUAAACGAUGAGUGCUAGGUGUUGGGGAGUUCACCUCCUCAGUGCCGCAGCUAACRCAAUAAGCAYUCCGCCUGGGAKWRSSCCAMYYUYG